AAAAUGAGCUAAUCGCUGCAAACUAAAAUUUGUAGAGGAAAGUCCACGCUCACACUUUCUGAAAUGAAAGUAGUGGUUUGUGUUAAAGGAAAAAAUAACUUUAAGUAGUUAAAUCUUGAUUUAACUAACGGCUGAUGAAAAACCUAAGUUUUAAUUAUUAAUUAAAAUAUGGUUCUAGUCUAUAAAAGUGUCAUAGAGACGAGUAUUAAGGAAACUUAAGAAGUGGAACGUGGUAAACCCCACAAGUGAGAAACCCAAAUUUGGUAGGGGAGUUUGUUUUCUAGAAUAACAAUGGGAAACAAAAUUGAAUUCUUUCGGGAUUCAAUAGAUAAAUGAUUAGCAUGUUAUAUUGGUUUACAAUAUAACAUACAGAACGUGGCUUAUGAUU
rnacentral:RNase_P_RNA from 1 species